rnacentral:rRNA from 1 species
CGGACGGGUGAGUAAUACUUAGGAAUCUGCCCAUUAGUGGGGGACAACAUUCGGAAACGGAUGCUAAUACCGCAUACGCCCUACGGGGGAAAGCGGGGGAUCUUCGGACCUCGCGCUAAUGGAUGAGCCUAAGUCGGAUUAGCUUGUUGGUGAGGUAAUGACUCACCAAGGCGACGAUCCGUAGCUGGUCUGAGAGGACGAUCAGCCACACUGGGACUGAGACACGGCCCAG